rnacentral:misc_RNA from 1 species
AUGGAACAUAGCAGAAGAGGGAAAGGGGGAGGGGAAGGGGGGGAGGGGGGGUAAAGCUAAUAAACAUGUCACAGCUAAAACUAGGUACUUAUGUUCUCCAUUCAAAUGGCAGUAACUUAAUACCACGAAACAGCGCAUUACAAGAGACCAAAAAUUGAGAAUAUUACAAAGGAUCAGCGCAAUCGGGCUUUCCACUUAGAAAUGGACUACAAAGACUAAGGUACCUGUAAUGCUCAUCCCCCUGUUUUGCGCAAUUCAGCAUCACCAUGGGCGAAGUGGCACCUUUCUCCAAAAGUGCAAGAACCUUUAGCAAAAUUUUCGCACAGCUUAGUCUUGUAGUUGUUCAUUGGAGGUGCACGUCCACCCUGUACUGCAGCUGUUCUUCCUGGGCCACCAACUGAUCCAAGGUUGCUGAUCAGCUCUCUCACCAUGGCGCUAGCCUGCGAUAUUUGUUCAAAUGUGCCUUCAAGCUCAAUGUUCCUCAGAUUUUUAUCCAUUUCAUGCUCACGGAUUGCCAGUUUGGCUCCUGUCUGCCAACAGAUGUGCUUAGAGUUCACUCCGCCCUUCCCAAUGAUGGGUCCCACAUGGAAAGCAUCCACGCUGAUCUUUGCAGUGGCUGAUGUACCAAAGCUAGCAACAGGAGACUCCCUUCGCCCACCAAAACGGUCAGGAAUAGGUCCAACACCCAUGGCACGUGGUGAUGGCACAAUAGGCUUGCCAAUUUCCCACUCCCCAUGAGCAAAACGGCAUUUGUCCCCAAACUUGCAUCCCUCAGCUGUGUUGAACUUGCUGCAAAUUUUGGUUUUCACAGCAGGAGUAUUCCCACUGGGAAUAGGUGAUGCUGGAGAUGGUGCAAUAUUCAUCAUCUUGGCCACAACAUUAUAGCCACCAGGAACAUAAUGAAGAAAAUGGCAGUUCUCACCAAAAGAGCAGCCAACAGUGCUGAAGAACUUUGUGCACGGCUUUGAUUUGCUUCCUAUACCACUUGAUAGUGAGUCCAUUUCUGGCUUAGCCUUUUUGAAACCAGCAUUGCCAUUAAAACCAGAUUCAUUCCUGUUUCUCUUGCGGAUUUCCAUGUCAAGCAACUCACAGAUCUAAAGACGAUCCAAAAUUACGAAACAAACAAACAACAAAGAGCAGGAGAAAA